GGGACACGUGGUAUCCUGUCUGAAUAUGGGGGGACCAUCCUCCAAGGCUAAAUACUCCUGACUGACCGAUAGUGAACCAGUACCGUGAGGGAAAGGCGAAAAGAACCCCGGCGAGGGGAGUGAAAAAGAACCUGAAACCGUGUACGUACAAGCAGUGGGAGCACGCUUAGGCGUGUGACUGCGUACCUUUUGUAUAAUGGGUCAGCGACUUAUAUUCUGUAGCAAGGUUAACCGAAUAGGGGAGCCGAAGGGAAACCGAGUCUUAACUGGGCGUUAAGUUGCAGGGUAUAGACCCGAAACCCGGUGAUCUAGCCAUGGGCAGGUUGAAGGUUGGGUAACACUAACUGGAGGACCGAACCGACUAAUGUUGAAAAAUUAGCGGAUGACUUGUGGCUGGGGGUGAAAGGCCAAUCAAACCGGGAGAUAGCUGGUUCUCCCCGAAAGCUAUUUAGGUAGCGCCUCGUGAAUUCAUCUCCGGGGGUAGAGCACUGUUUCGGCAAGGGGGUCAUCCCGACUUACCAACCCGAUGCAAACUGCGAAUACCGGAGAAUGUUAUCACGGGAGACACACGGCGGGUGCUAACGUCCGUCGUGAAGAGGGAAACAACCCAGACCGCCAGCUAAGGUCCCAAAGUCAUGGUUAAGUGGGAAACGAUGUGGGAAGGCCCAGACAGCCAGGAUGUUGGCUUAGAAGCAGCCAUCAUUUAAAGAAAGCGUAAUAGCUCACUGGUCGAGUCGGCCUGCGCGGAAGAUGUAACGGGGCUAAACCAUGCACCGAAGCUGCGGCAGCGACGCUGAUGCGUUGUUGGGUAGGGGAGCGUUCUGUAAGCCUGUGAAGGUGUGCUGUGAGGCAUGCUGGAGGUAUCAGAAGUGCGAAUGCUGACAUAAGUAACGAUAAAGCGGGUGAAAAGCCCGCUCGCCGGAAGACCAAGGGUUCCUGUCCAACGUUAAUCGGGGCAGGGUGAGUCGACCCCUAAGGCGAGGCCGAAAGGCGUAGUCGAUGGGAAACAGGUUAAUAUUCCUGUACUUGGUGUUACUGCGAAGGGGGGACGGAGAAGGCUAUGUUGGCCGGGCGACGGUUGUCCCGGUUUAAGCGUGUAGGCUGGUUUUC
rnacentral:rRNA from 1 species